rnacentral:lncRNA from 1 species
CUGCUUUAUAUACCUUCAAUAGAAAAUGUGGAUCCUUCCGGUCUAUUCCUCAUCCGAGUCAUCCGUGUAGUAUGGACAAAAUACGUAAUUUGUGCCAUUUGUAAUCUGAUAAUAUCGAUAAAUCUGUGUUCCAGAUAAUUCCGGAAUCGUUUUGAGCGACUUGCAUCCAAUGAUAUUCAGUUUUUCCAAAAACUCCAACCUAUCGAGGCCCUGAAUUUCAACCAAGUUUUUGCAGUCUCUAGCUUCUAAUCUCUUCAGACUCCUGGACUUUGGAAGGAGUAGCCUUUCGAUUGAAGUGCACCAAGAGAUUUCUAGUAUUUCCAAGGACUCCAACCUAUCGAGGCCAUGAAUUUCAGCUAAUUUCUUGCACCAACCAACAUUUACUCUCUUCAUACUUCCGGAUUUUGGAAGGUCUAGCUUUCCAAUCGAAGUGCACCUAGAGAUAUCUAGACUUUCCAAAUACUGCAAAUUAUCGAGCCCUUGAAUUUCGGCUAAGUUUUUGCAAUGCUGAGCCUCUAAUUUCUUCAGCAUCCCGAAUUUUGGAAGGUCUAGCUUUCCAAUCGAAGUGCACCUAGAGAUAUCUAGACUUUCCAAAUACUGCAAAUUAUCGAGCCCUUGAAUUUCAGCUAAGUUUUUGCAACGCCGAGCCUCUAAUUUCUUCAGCAUCCCGAAUUUUGGAAGGUCGAGCCUUCCAAUUGAAACACAAUCAUUGAUAUCUAGCCUUUCCAAAAACUGCGAUCUAUCAAGGCCUUCAAUUUCCGCUAAGUUUUCACAACCUAUAGCUUUUAAUUCCUUCAGCCUCCCGGACUUUGGAAGGUCGAGCCUUCCAAUUGAAACACAAUCAUUGAUAUCUAGCCUUUCCAAAAACUGCGAUCUAUCAAGGCCUUCAAUUUCCGCUAAGUUUUCACAACCUAUAGCUUUUAAUUCCUUCAGCCUCCCGGACUUUGGAAGGUCGAGCCUUCCAAUUGAAACACAAUCAUUGAUAUCUAGCCUUUCCAAAAACUCCGAUCUAUCAAGGCCUUCAAUUUCCGCUAAGUUUUCACAACCUAUAGCUUCUAAUUCCUUCAGCCUCCCGGACUUUGGAAGAUCUAGCCUUCCAAUUGAAGCACAAUGUUUGAUAUCUAGCCUUUCCAAAAACUCCGAUCUAUCAAGGCCUUGAAUUUCGGCUAAUGUGUUGC